GAAUCUGGACCUGUCAGUAAUAAGAGUCUGUGUAUGAAAACACCCAAGGACUUCUCUUCCUGCCGUCACCCUUGGUUCAGCUGUGUGGAGGCCGUCAGACCAGGUCCCUGCUCAGCACCUUUCACCGUUGUUUCCCCGAAGAGAUGCAGUCGUCCGUCCAGGGAGUGCAGGUGCCAGGCUCUGGUCCGUUCAUAGCAGAGACUUCAGAGAGCCACAAAUGGCUGUGACCUAAUGAGAAAACCGUGCAUAGAUUGCGGACGUGCCAGCUUCUAACAGGCCCAGGGGGCCUGCACAGCCCUCCUGCCCAGCCUCGGGGCUGCGACAGGAGAAGCCUGGCAUGAGAUCUUCACUGCAUCCUGGAUCGAAGUGCCCGGCACUGGGCUGGGGGAAAAAAAAAUCACUUCUUCACCUAAUCAAGAACUUCAACUUCACAAUGGAAAAAAGAAGUAAAAGCGUGAGUACCUGUCCUUCGGACCGGAGUUUCCUGGGCACAUGCUGGGACACACGGCCUCAGGUUCUAGGCAGAGAACCACCAUGUCUGGCCCUGACCAGGAGGAUGCUGACCCGACAAGUAGGCAGUGCCUUUGGCAACCCUGUUCCUUCUUUUUAG
rnacentral:lncRNA from 1 species